UGCUCAUAGGUGGUUGAAAGUGAUGAGUUGAGAUUAGGGCUGGCAAAUUCAGUGGAGACAAACCAGCCAACUGAAUCAUUCCUGAAUCAAGUUUUUCGGUAACCAACAAUUUCGGUAACUGAAGUUGUAGUACGGUAGAACCGAACCAAGAUGGCAUAAUUGGUACAGUAUUAAUUUUGAAUUUUCCAAAAAUAAGGUAUACCGUAUCGUACUACAUAUUUAAUAUAAUAUUUAUUUAUUUUAAAUAUUUCUUAUAUUAUCAAUCAUAGUCGUUGAUUUUCUUUAAUUUUAUUUCAUAUUAACUAACAACCGUUAGAUUAAAACUUUCCAAAUCCUAAUCCCUAAUCCCUCAGCCCCUCUCUCAGUCACUCCCUCAGUCUCUCUCUCUCUCUCUCUAGAACCCGACCGAGGCUCUGAGCCUCUCAAACUCUUCAAAGAAACGUCGUCUCUCUCUCUCUCUCUCCGGCACGUGCUCUCAAUUCUCAGCCUCUCUCCGGCCAGGAUGGGAUUUCAGUAGCUCUGGUUAAACUAGACUUCCACUCUUCCAACUCUCCGGCCAGCUCUCCCAUGACUCUGGGUUUCUGGGUUCAGUAGCAAAAGUGCAAUUGUAGAACGAGGUGAGUCAGCUUGUCUGAUAUCCCGCGGACAACUGUCGCUAUGCACAUUACUGAGUUAUUCGUUUUGUGUGUGAUAUCCCGCGGACAACUGUCUGAUAUUCCCGCCGUCGCCGUCCACCUGGUCAUGCUCAGUCGACAACUCUCCAUUGUCAUCUACGUUUCUCUCUCGUUUCUUUAUGGUGCGAUGUUGGUGUGUCAAAUAAUGGAAUGGAUGGAAACCAGUUUAGAAUAUUAUUUAUCAGAACUGGUGAAUUGAACGUAUAUACACAACAUGUAAGAUUUAUGUUUUAUGAUAGUUCAGUUUACCUGUGUCGAUGGACUA